rnacentral:rRNA from 1 species
GACGAACGCUGGCGGCGUGCUUAACACAUGCAAGUCGAGCGGUAAGGCCCUUUCGGGGGUACACGAGCGGCGAACGGGUGAGUAACACGUGGGUGACCUGCCCUCAGCUCUGGGAUAAGCCUGGGAAACCGGGUCUAAUACCGGAUAUGACUCCAUGACGCAUGUUGUGGGGUGGAAAGCCUUGUGCGGCUGAGGAUGGGCCCGCGGCCUAUCAGCUUGUUGGUGGGGUGAUGGCCUACCAAGGCGACGACGGGUAGCCGGCCUGAGAGGGCGACCGGCCACACUGGGGACUGAGACACGGCCCAGACUCCUACGGGAGGCAGCAGUGGGGAAUCUUGCGCAAUGGGCGAAAGCCUGACGCAGCGACGCCGCGUGAGGGAUGACGGCCUCGGU